UACGAAGGGAGCUAGCGUUGUUCGGAAUCACUGGGCGUAAAGCGCACGUAGGCGGAUGUGUCAGUCAGGGGUGAAAUCCCGGAGCUCAACUUCGGAACUGCCUUUGAUACAGCACAUCUGGAGUCCGGAAGAGGUGGGUGGAAUUCCUAGUGUAGAGGUGAAAUUCGUAGAUAUUAGGAAGAACACCGGUGGCGAAGGCGGCCCACUGGUCCGGUACUGACGCUGGAGGUGCGGAAAGCGUGGGGAGCAAACAGG
rnacentral:rRNA from 1 species